CAGCAGUAGCCGCGGUAAUACGGAGGGUGCAAGCGUUAAUCGGAAUUACUGGGCGUAAAGCGCACGCAGGCGGUCUGACAAGUCAGAUGUGAAAUCCCCGGGCUUAACCUGGGAACUGCAUUUGAAACUGUCAGGCUGGAGUCUUGUAGAGGGGGGUGGAAUUCCAGGUGUAGCGGUGAAAUGCGUAGAGAUCUGGAGGAAUACCGGUGGCGAAGGCGGCCCCCUGGACAAAGACUGACGCUCAGGUGCGAAAGCGUGGGGAGCAAACAGGAUUAGAUACCCGCGUAGUCCCUGUCUCUUAUAC
rnacentral:rRNA from 1 species